UCUAGUUCAGGUAAUUAUUACGUGGGGUAGGGUUCAACUACCAUAAAUUGUAGUUAAGAGAUAGAUAGUAUUAAAUGAAAAUGUAACUUCCACAAAUGAGGAGCAAGUGGAUAAAUCUGAACAACUAGCAAAAAUAGUUACAGAUUAGAAGUCGGAUAAUCUACAGGUUAGGCAACAGUUACUAUCAAGACUUAUGUUCUUCAUGUCCCAUUUCCCAAGAGAUUGCAAAAAAAGAAGGUCGACGAACAAUUUGAGAAGCUUUUGGAUGAGCUAAAGAAACUCUACAUCAACAUAUCGUAAAGGAAAUAAUGAAGUCACCGCAAAUGGAUAAUGAAAGCAUCAAAUAUCCAAGAGACAAAGUCGAUGAUGUACUAAUUAAAGCUGGAAAAUUGGUAUUCUAGAUGGGUUUCCUUGUUCUUGACAUAGAUGAAGAUCAAAAUAUUCGAAAAAUCUUGAGUCGACCUUCCUAGCAACAGGUCAAAAUUGAUUGACAUGGAGAAAGGUGAGUUGGCCUUGAGGUUGAAGGAUGAAUAAGAAUUCUUUAAAUUACACAAUCUAUCCAAACGACCGUCGGACCUUGAGGUGUGAAACUAUAUUGAUGAAGACAAUCCACGAAGUAUUCAAAAGAGAAAACCUAAAGUUGGUGGAAUUCCUGUUUUAAUUCACGGAUUUUUCAUAGAUGUCGCUAAAUUUGAAAAUCUACCAAAAUUGUCA
rnacentral:lncRNA from 1 species